GGCUCAGAACGAACGCUGGCGGCGUGCUUAACACAUGCAAGUCGAACGCGAAAGGGACUUCGGUCCUGAGUAAAGUGGCGCACGGGUGAGUAACGCGUAGAUAACCUGUCUUCAUGUCUGGAAUAAUACGCCGAAAGGGGUACUAGUACCGGAUAUUCUUGCUUUUCAUAAGUUAUGCAAGCAAAGGUGGCCUCUGCAUAUGCUACUGCAUGAAGAGGGGUCUGCGUACCAUUAGCUAGUAGGUGGGGUAAUGGCCUACCUAGGCGACGAUGGUUAGCGGGUCUGAGAGGAUGAUCCGCCACACUGGCACUGGAACACGGGCCAGACUCCUACGGGAGGCAGCAGUGAGGAAUAUUGCGCAAUGGGGGAAACCCUGACGCAGCGACGCCGCGUGAAGUGAGGAAGGCCUUCGGGUCGUAAAGCUCUGUCAAGAGGAAAGAAGUGUACAAUGGCUAAUACCUGUUGUAUUUGACGGUACCUCUAAAGGAAGCACCGGCUAACUCCGUGCCAGCCGCAGC
rnacentral:rRNA from 1 species